UGUGCCUACGGGGGGCAGCAGUGAGGGAUAUUGGUCAAUGGGGGAAACCCUGAACCAGCAACGCCGCGUGAGGGAAGACGGUUUUCGGAUUGUAAACCUCUGUCCUCUGUGAAGAUAAUGACGGUAGCAGAGGAGGAAGCUCCGGCUAACUACGUGCCAGCAGCCGCGGUAAUACGUAGGGAGCGAGCGUUGUCCGGAUUUACUGGGUGUAAAGGGUGCGUAGGCGGGUAAGCAAGUCAGAAGUGAAAUCCAUGGGCUUAACCCAUGAACUGCUUUUGAAACUGUCCAGCUGGAGUGCAGGAGAG
rnacentral:rRNA from 1 species